GCCCUGUUAGCUUAGUCGGUAGAGCGUUGAACUUUUAAUCCAAUGGUCGUGGGUUCGAUCCCACACAGAGAG
rnacentral:tRNA from 1 species